rnacentral:rRNA from 1 species
GUAGGGGGCAAGCGUUAUCCGGAUUUACUGGGUGUAAAGGGAGCGUAGACGGCAUUGCAAGUCUGAUGUGAAAGAUUGGGGCUCAACCCCAGGCCUGCAUUGGAAACUGUAAAGCUGGAGUACAGGAGAGGUAAGCGGAAUUCCUAGUGUAGCGGUGAAAUGCGUAGAUAUUAGGAGGAACACCAGUGGCGAAGGCGGCUUACUGGACCGUAACCGACGUUGAGGCUCGAAAGCGUGGGGAGCAAA